rnacentral:lncRNA from 1 species
UUGGGGAUAUAGUGAUGGUUAAGAAACCAUCCCUUUUCUCGACCAGAAAUUUGGCAGCUGCAGGUAUCUUUAUUGUGAGAGUGGUUUUAGAGGCAACCUUAGGAGCAAGCAUCGAUCUCGACAUUCCAUUCUUUGGAGAAGAUGUUCCGAUAUGUUAGAGAGCACGAUAAGCAUAUUGAGCUCAAAUCUUGAGUUUGUAAAACUUUAAAGAAAAUUUUUACUUCAAUAUAGUAUCAAAACUUAGUUUUGUAGAAUGUUUCUGAUUCGACCCUCUUUCUGUAAUUUAUAUUAAUGUGAUGCAAUGUCGGUUGGUCCCUCUCUCCACAAUUUAUAUUUUUCCUAAUUGCUUUUGUUAAAUAUGAAUCCAAAUUCUCGUCGACGGGAACCAAAUUCUAUCAAUCCUAUAUUCUAUUUUUCAAUCGGUUUCAAUCACUUUAGUGUAUUUUCUACUAUUCAUUGUAUGUUUCUUAUUUGUAGAGCAAUGUUUCUUCUAACAAGAAACCCUUUUAGAAUGGUCUAAGAGACAUUUUCCCUAAUCUUUAGUCUAUGUUUGGGGAGAGCCGUAAAUGUUGAAUAUUCCAAGCUCAGUGAGGGCAUCCAUUGACCCAAAGAUCUGGGAGAGGGGGAAAGCCUACUCUAUAGCUGCUGCAUGUGUUCAUAUGGAUAGACAAUACUAAAAGAAAAAUAAAUAAAAUAAAAUAAAAAUGCAUAAAAACAAUUACAUAAAAGACGGGGAUGUCAAGGAUUAGGAACUUUUAUAGAAGACAGAUAUUAUGUCAUUUUUUAUUACUUUAAAAAAAAUUUAAAUUUGAUGUAAUAUCAUCGAUUUCUACAAGUCAUUACUUUUUAAAUUUAAACUUGUAAAAAUUAUUGUAUUUUUAUAUAAUUUUUUUUUUUUUAAAGAGAAAAUAUGAAAUAUAUCCAAACACAGCCAUGACCUAGACGUCUCGAACUUAAUUAGACUUUUCAAAGAACUAGCACGCUAUGUUAUUGGACCAAUUUUCAAACAAAGUGACGUGGCAGGAAGGCUCUUCCUCCCUUCCUUCCUUCUUCCCCUCCUCAAUCCCUCCUCUAGCUCCCUCCAUCUCAAACUCCCCAGUCUGCUGAAAAAAAUCCUCCCUCCCUUCUCGGCCAGACACUCCCCUCCUGCUUGCCCGGAAUAUCUCCUUUUUCGUCACAAACCACCAGAAAAUUGGAGAAUAUCCCUCCCCACGUAUCACUCUGUGGGUAGCCCUGAAAAAACCAUUCCUCCACUUUCUCAGCAGAAGGCGUCUCCUGCCAGCUGCCAAAAUGUUCCCCUCAAGAGUGAGAAAAUAUGGACAGCCGCCAAAAUGUCCACCUCAAGGUGGUCCUCAAGAGUGAGAAAAUAUGGAGCCUAAAAUAAUGGUCCACAAAUAUGAAGAUCUUUGGUAUUUUCUUUUAUAUUUUUUAAAGUCAUUUUUUAUUUAUCAUUUUGCAUAGUAAUUAAAUAUAAGAAAUUUAUUUAUUUUAAUGUUCUUUCUACUUUCAUCAGAAUUAAUUUUGAGCAUGCAACAUAAGUAAUCCCAAAAAUAAAAUAAAAAUAAACUAUUAAUUUUUCAGCUUAACAUAUAAAUUUAUAUAAUUAAAGAUUUUAUCAAAAAUGAACAUAUAAAAAAUCUCUUUUAUCAAAAAAUAAACUAUUUGUUUAUUGAAUAUGAAUCCACCAUAUUUGUGAUUUGUAUUUCCUCCAUUUAUUUGUAAAAUACGAAUUCAAAUUCUAGCAAUCUCCCAUCAUAUUUUUCCUACUUCCUAUUUAUGGAGUCAUGUUUAGUCUAUUUAAAAAUCUCUUUUCUUUCAUCAUGAUUCCAUAAGAACCACUUUUGGUAUAUCAUGAUUCCAACAAGAACCACUUUUGGUACGGUAUAAGAGAUCAUUCUCAUGAUCUUUAGGUUAUGUUUGAUUCUGGACAAAGUAUUAAGAAAAAAAAAUGUUUAGUCAUAGAAAUUAUUAAGAAAAAAAAAUAUUAAAAAAAAUUAUUUUCUUAUAUUUAGUUUUUAUUAUGAAAUAUGUCAAAAAAAAAUCAAAUAUAAAUAAAAUUAUUAAAAAAUUUAUAUAUUUUUAAAUUAUUUAGUUUUUAUAUAUAAGAGUUAUAUACAUGAAAAGUUUGAAUAGUAUAUAAAAUAAUUUAUAGAUAUUAAAUCUAUUUUUUUUAUUGAGAGAAUCCUGUGAAACUUCACUAAUAAAAAAUAUAUAUAUUUUUAAGAACUUUUAAAAAGUAAUUUUAUAAACAUGAGCUCCAAUAGUAACAUGAACAAAAUUUCAAAAUUGUCCUUAAACUUUUCUAUCUUCCAUAGCUUGUCAUUUGAAAAAAAUUGGCAUACGAGCUAUCAACCAUCCCACAAUUUUUUUCCCCCUUGGUUUUACCUUUUUGACUUUUUUAUAAUAUGCUAAUUAUACAUUCUCAUAAAAUAUCUUUAAUUUCAUUUUUUUCACUCUUUCAUCUUUUGAUUUUAAUUAUUUAUAAACACUUUAAAUAUACAAUAAUAAUAAUAAUAAUAAUAAUAUAAUAUAUAAUUAAUGAGAAAAAAAUAAUAUAAAGUAAAUACAUAAUAAACAAAUUUAGCUUUUUAUGUAACUUCACACUGUGGUUUUUAACUUUUUUUGUUAAAAUAUUUAAUAUUUUUAAUUGAAGAAAAUAAAAACUUGGUUGUAGUUCUACCAUUUUGAUUUGUUAAAAUUUUAAAUAUUUUACUAUAUCAAAUAUAAAAUAAAAUAUAUUUUUCAUAAAAAUUUUGUAUUUAAUCAUUUAUAUUAAUUUUCUCUUAAUUUUAUUAAAAAUUAAAUUUUUUAUCCGUCUUAUCAUAAAAUAAAGAAGAGUGAUAUAUCAUUGUGACUACAAUGGUAGUUUUAACCCACUUACUUUUUCUUUUUCUUUUUUUCAUAAAAAGAGUGAUAUUUUUUUUUCUAAAAAACCAAAAAAGGAUAGUACAACAUUCCCAUCCUGAUAUACUUUUAACAAAUUUUAGUAUUACUUUUUUUUAUAUAAAAGAGCAGUAUCAUUUUUUUCCAAAAAAGUGUGGUGUCAUUUUUUCCAAGGGUUAUGUCCAUCGAUGCGCAAUUUCAAUAUGCAAACAUUUUAAUUUUUAACAAAAUUAAGAUAAAAUAAUAUAAAUGAUUAAAUAUAUUUUUUAAUGAAAAAUAUUAAACAUUUUAUUGAGAAAAAUGUUAAGAUCCAUUCUAAUUUUCAUACAAAAAAAAGUAGAGGUAGUAUGGAGGAGAAAAAAAAAAAGCAAAAAGAAAAUUCAUGUGGGAUGGUUGGUUGCCAUAUAUCAAUUAUAUAUAUAUAUAUAUAUAUAUAUAUAUAUAUAUAUAUAUAUAUAUAUAUAUAUGCCGGAUCUUACAGGAUGGUUUUGACAUGUUAAUGAUUUUAGGGAUUAGGGAUUAGGGUUUUAAGGUGAAAACACAUUUGGAAAAAAGAAAUAAUGUUGAAUAUUCCCAAGGAAUUCAAUGAAAUUACAAACUUUCAUGAGGUAAAUAACAUGAUGUGUUUCAACUUUAUCUCUUUGCAUAGAAGAUGUGUUUAAUAUAAACCAUAAUCUCGGUGAACACUCAACACAUUAGGUUGGAUUGCUGCUAGUUCUCUUAAGCCAAGGGCUAAGCCAGCCUGUUGGUCAGUUUUGGACAUAAAAUUCGAUUUGGGAGAUAGGAAUUGCAUGCAAGAAUUUUCGGAUACUUGUCCUAAUCCUGUUAUAUCUUGUCCUUAAUAGGAUGAAUUUGGGAAGAAAAAAAAAAUUAAAAAGUUUAAUUUGAGAUAGGUUAAAGUAUGACUUUGUCCCACUUGAAUUAUAUAUAUAUAAUAUUUAAAAAAUAUUUUAAUUAUUUUUUUUAUUUUUCACUUUUUUAAAACAUAUACAAUAAAAAAAAUAUUCAUAAAAAAUAAAUAUUUACUUAUUUAUAAAUUAAUUUAUUUUUAAUAUAAAUUAAAAAUUUUAAAGUUGAAACAACUUGAAAAAAUAAAAAAUAACAACAAUGAACAAAGUAUGGCAAAUAUAGAUCAUCAAUCCCACCCCAUCAAAAUUUUCUUUUUGAUUAAGUAUAGGAAUAGAAAUAAAUAAACAGGAUGUGAUCAAGAUAGGAAUGACUUGUUUCGAACCCAUCCUAUUACCAUCUAAGCACUGCAACAAAUUGGGGUUUUAACAUGAACUAAUUUGUGAUUAAAAGAAAGCAUUUCAUGGUAAAAGAGUUCUUCCCAUAAAAAGUUAUUUAUGGUGAGUUCACUUACAUAAGUUUAUGAGUAAUUAUUUUUAACCAUAGAAAUGAUAUUUGUAAUUGAAAGAUGAACUUAGUAAAAAACAAUCAAAAUCCCUGUUAUUUUACACAAGAGAUGGGACCAAACCACACAAAAGACAAGCAAGGAGAAGCAGAACUUAUUUCUUUAUUUUUGGAUAUACAAAAACAUUGAAGAGUAGCAUCUAAAUAGUAGUCAUAAUUCUGAUAGAGCAUUCCUUUCCAAAUGUUGUCCACAAACUUUGCUAGCUUUAGCUUAUGACUCAAUUACCACCUAGGGUUGGCUAUGACCACCUUAGAGAGAGAGAGAGAGAGAGAGAGAUGAGAGUUAAUUUAAAUCAACAAAAAGAAAACGUACUACCUCACCAAGUUAAAUACCAAUAUGAGCUUAAAGACUUGCUCCUCUAGAGAAGCAAUUCUAUCAAUGUUCAUUACACUUAUUAGACAUGUCUAGAACUACUAGUUGAAUCCUCCUUUUACCACUUCUCUUGUGUGCUCUUCUUCCAUAUACUCACAUACAUUGUCCUUAAAGAUAAAAGAAUAGAAAAACUGUUUAGUUUAUGAAAAGUUAAGAAAAUAUGAAGAAAAGAAAAUAAAGAGAAAAAGUAAAAAGAAAAAAUAAAUAAAUAAAUAAAUAUAAAGUCAAUAUAUUGUUUGUAUAUCUUACUUCAAAUUCAUUUCAUUUAUUUAACUCUUUUACAUAAAAAUUAAAUAAUUUUAAAAUAUAUAAGUUUUUCAAUAAUUUUAAUUAUAUAUAUAUAUUUCGUAUUUUUCAAGGGAAUCAAACAGAGUUGAAGGGUCGUUAGAACUUAAGUUGGUUAUCACAAAGGUAUGAUAAGCUAUAUAUAUUUUCACAAGGUAAAACGAAAGCAUAAAUAUUAAAAUAAUGACAACCAAUUGCAGAAGAAACAUUACCUUUUAACUAUAGCAUCCAGCUGCAUAUCCACUCGUUACUCACAAGGAGCAAUAAAAGAUAAAUUCACAAGAAAAGUUCAUAAAAGGCAAACUUACAAAUAUACCAGAACUAAGAAAUUGAGAAAAAUAUAUAAGUUCAUACCAACUGGAUAAGGACUUUACAACCUAAAAACCUAUAUUUACUUGCAAUAAGGCAAAUUGUCCACCAAAAGAGUCAAGAAUCCUUCUGCUUGUUCAUCUAAGCCAAUGAUCACUACAUCCAAAAACAAAUAAAAUAAUUAUGGGAUUAGAUGAAAUCAUUCUUUUGUUGAAAAUUCUAAAUGAAGUACCAAAAAAAAAAAAAAAAGUGAAAAUACCUUAACACACCGAUAAUGUUGGGGUAACAAAAGUUUUGAUACCGCUUGUUGCAUAUGUAGAAGUUUUUUUGAAAGAAUAUAAAAUAAAAUCAUUCAUAUAUAAAGGUAGAUAAGGUUUUAAUAUAAUUUAACUUAUCAUACAUAUCUAUACCUCUAUAGAUGAGAGAUAACAUUUUACUAUAAAAUAAAGAACAUUAAAAAGGACAAAUCAAAUCAGAUAAAAAAUAACAUUCCACUAUACAAUAAAGGAUAAUUCAACAAAUAAAUCAAAAUAUAUAUAAUUAUUAGGGAGAAUUAUGUUUUGGGGGUAGAUGGGCCCCCAAAUUAACAAAAGGUCCAUGUACCUCUUCAAAUUGAGCCCAAGACCCAAUGAAAGUAGGGAAAUUGAGUUGAAGGAUAUCAUCCUUCAGUAUUUCCAAAAAUGCCCUUUGUUGAUUUUGAGAAAAAAAAUUAAUAUUUUUAAAAAAUACUUUUAUUUAAUUUAAUAUUUUAAAAAAAUACUUUUAUGUAAUUUAAUACUUUUUAAAAUACUUUUAUUUAAUUUAAUAUUUUUAAAAAAUAAAUUUAUUUAAUUUAAUAUUUUUUUAAAAUAAAUUUAUUUAAUUUAAUAUUUUUUAAAAAUAAAUUUAUUUAAUUUAAUAUUUUUUAAAAAUAAAUUUAUUUAAUUUAAUAUUUAAUUUAAUAUUUUUGAAAACUACUUUUAUUUAAUUUAGUAUUUUUGAAAAAAAAAUUAUUGAAAAAAAUUAUUUAACUUAAUUUUAUAAAAUAUUUUAUAUGUGUUCUUAAAGGGUAUAUUUGUCCGUUACUAUUUCAUAUCCUUCAACUCAAUUUGAAGAGUUAUAUAAACUUUUUGUUAAUUUGGGGGCCCAUCUACCCCCCAAAAGAUAAUUCUCCCUAAUUAUUAAGUCCCAAAAUAUCCUACAUUUCCUUACUUUUAUAUUUUUACCCUAAAUUAAGAGUCAUUUUGCUUCAUUAGGUACUUUUUACUCUUCUUUAUAUUUACCCAAUAAUUCUUCUUACUCCGUUGGGUAAUAUCUCUUGCUCUUCAUCAUAUCUUUAUGCAUCAUAUAUAGUUUUUACAAACCCAUAUUUCUCAUAAUUUUUUUCUCCAUUAUAAUUUAAAAUAUUUAUAGAGAUAUUCAUACUAAUUUUUCUUAUUAUAUAAAAAUUCAAUUUAAAAAUAUUAUAUAUAAAAUUCCUUGUAAAAAAGGAAAUAUAUUUCGCUUAGGAAUACACUACUCGGUCAAGGCAUUCAAACUUCCACAUGCUCCCACCCUGCUCAUACACCUCAUUCCACCACCUAAGCACAACUAAGAUCCUUCCACUCACGUUCUUGACUACCCAAUUCAAUGGCUUAUCUAUGCAGUAAAGUCCACAACUGUCCUUAUAAAGCCCCUAGUUUCAAUGAUAUAUUUGUUGCAGAGACAACUAAUUUUGUAGAAGAAAGAUAUAAUACAAAAAUAGCUUCAAAAAACCAACCAAAAAUCUAAAUCAAUGUAUAUAGAACAAGACACAAGCAGGAAAGGAUCUUCCUUCAAGCAAGUUUAAGUAACUGUCCAUCAAGAAAAUGGCUUCCAUGAUUCCGUAUAAACAAUAGAAUCUCUAAAAAGUGGAGUAUGUAGAGACCCCUCUCUCCGAGAACACGUGGCACGCAUCUUACAAUGACACAUGGCACGCAUUGUCAUCCGAGUCACCCUUAUCCGGAUCUUCCUAUAAAGCACACAUGACACGCUUUUCCUACCCGGGCUACCUCAAGGAAGAUCAAACGACACUUAUAAACAUAACAUCCGGAUGGCUUACACAAUUACAUCCGGAUGAUCAACAUAUGUCAUCCGGAUAUAAUUGUCCGGAUCAUUGACUGAAGUAAGGCAAGUCUUACACGUUAUCACAACAACCAUCCAUGGCCCACGUUCCGCCACCUGCAGGGUGAGAGGACAAGAUGAAGUGACAACAAGUCACUUCCUACGAUCAUUCCACAUGAUCACUUCCCACGAUCUCUGACAGCCGCAUCAUCACCUACCACGAUCCCUGUCAGCCGCCCGUAGGGUGAUGAUGGUCCUGCUGCUACCUAAUGUCAUCAUGACAACAUAAAAUAUCUCCCCACCAUUAAUGAGAGGAACAAUGCUCCUGGAACUAUAUAUAAACCUUCACACGAAGAGGAAGGUAAUCUCCUGAGACCUAGUAAAAGGCCAACUGAUUUAUCUCUCUCCCUAACCAUGGCUAACAAAACCAUCGGAGGGUGCAUCCGGACACCCUGUCCGGAUGCCCUUUUUGCAGGUAUAACGACUGAAUCAAGAACCUAUUUUGGUUGAGGUCGCGCAUCCGUCCAUUUGACAACUACGUGGAUCGUCAGGGACGCGAGGCAUCAACAUUGGCGCCGUCUGUGGGAAAUUUUCAUUUUGAUUCAGUCACUAGCAAAGAUGGUCACACCUUCCCGAAGUCGUUCAUCUAGUAGGGGAGAGGAUGAUAAUUUUGAAUGGCGUCAAACCAUCGAAAGAAGACAGUUGGCAAGCGAACGACAACUGAAAGCUCUCCUCUAGGAGACAGAAAGAUUGAGAGAAGAAAACGCUGUAUUGCGCAUCCAGGCUUCAACAUCAGGGCCUCCUCGACGUCAGCAUUCAAAAGGCAAAGUAGCAAACUCAAGGCCUCAACAAGAACCAGAACCAAUAUAUCCUGGGACAACAAGAGCCAUCCUAGGAGCAUGCAACGUGAGGCCUCAUGAGCCACACACGCCUAUGCCCCGAGCUCCCCGUGAGGAAAGCUCACACUCUACUCACUUUUCAGCGAAAAGACAAUGCGACAGAAGAUCUCAAUUGUCAAAUUCAAUGCGCGCAAGACUAGGCCCACAAGAGCCUGGAAGACCAAGGCCACCAGUAGCCACAACCUGGGCGUCACGCCCUGACCCUAUGAUCACCCCUAUGGUAUAGAACGUGCACCCGCAUCGUGACCCCAUGGUCACCCUCGUGAUGCGGAACGUUCAUUCGCACCCAGCGGUAUAGCAAGCUGGGGGAAACCUCCCAAACGAGCCACCCAUUGGCUCCAUCAGCAAAAGGUUGGAUGACAUGCUCUCCACGCCCUUCUGCUCUCAUAUCAUUCAUUACGAGCCCCCAAGGGGAUUCCUCGUACCAAAAUUCUCCACAUACGAUGGGACCAGCGAUCCCUUCGAUCACAUCAUGCAUUAUCGACAGCUUAUGACGCUCGAUAUUGGCAACGAUGCAUUACUAUGCAAAGUGUUCCCCGCCAGCCUAUAGGGGCAGGCCCUCUCAUGGUUUCAUCGCCUACCACCCAACUCUGUUGGCAAUUUCAGGGACCUGUCCGAAGCUUUCGUGAGACAAUACUUGUGCUCCGCUCGACACAAGCAAAAUAUCAGCACCCUGUAGAACAUAAAAAUGCAAGAUAACGAAUCCUUGAGGGAAUUUGUGAAGCGGUUUGGCCAAGCCGUACUUCAAGUAGAGGCUUGCAGCAUGGAUGUUGUCCUGCAAAUCUUCAAGCGAAGCAUCUGUCCAGGCACUCCAUUUUUCGAAUCACUGGCCAAAAAGCCUCCUACAACGAUGGAUGACUUAUUCAGGCGUGCCAACAAAUAUUCAAUGCUCGAAGAUGACGUGCGUGCAGCCACCCAGCAAGUUUUGGUUGCCGGACGACCAUCUAGAGGUGACGCAGACAGAAAUGCUAAACCUCCGAACCGGCCAAGGCUGUCUAACCGAAGGCAGGAAGGGCCAAGUCGCCCUGAAAGGCCGCCUCCCACACCUCUUUCCAUAUCAUAUGAAAAACUUCUCCCUAUGAUCCAAGGCUUGUCUGACUUCAGGUGGCCAAGACCCCAAGGAACAGACCCAUCCACAAGGGAUCAUAGCAAGAAAUGUGUCUUCCACAAGGAACACGGUCACACGACAGAAACAUGCAGGAGCCUCCAGUAUCUGGUCGAGAGGCUCAUCAAGGCAAGACAUCUAAAGCAAUAUCUCCGCUCAGAUAUUGAAGGAAAAUUCACUUCCCAACAUCACAAUCCUGGAGCCCCUAGGGCCCCAGCCACCCCCAAGGCCGUUAUAAACUAUAUUAAUGGAGGUCCAUCUGACGAAGAAUACGACUCUAGGCGAAAGAGGCAAAAAUUGUUGCGGGCUGCAUCAAUACACGAACGUUUCAAUUCCAUCCGGCCUGGGCUAACUGGAGGGGGCCCUCGCCCCAUAGAUGGGACAAUCAUUUUCCCACCAGUAGAUCCCACCCGAACACUGCAACCACAUCGCGACGCCCUCAUCUUGUCCCUGGAAAUAGGAGACUUCGAUGUGCGGCGUAUCUUGGUUGACCCAGGCAGUUCGGCCGACCUUGUAUAAGCAUCGGUCGUUAGCCACAUGGGACACAGUCUCGCAGGCCUUGAAAACCCUGGACGAAUCUUGUCCGGAUUCAACAGAUCAUCAAUAUUGCCGGUCCAAGCUGGCCCAAUCACUCUCAACGUACAAUUCUCGGUGGUACAAGAGUUAUCACCCUUCAAUAUCAUCUUGGGGCGCACAUGGCUACAUUACAUGAAAGUCAUCCCCUCUACAUAUCAUCAAAUGGUGAGUUUCCUCACCAACGAAGGGCAAAUUGACCUAUAUGGCAGCCAACUGGCCACUCGUCAAUGCUAUCAGAUAGCACGAGAAGCAGAGGCCAACCAGGAGGAUGCAUCUCCCCCUGAACCCAGCCAUACACAUGACCAAUAGCAAUUAUUGGGUCCGGCGGACAAAGAUCCCCCGGCAGCAGAUCCCUUACAAACGAUCCAAAUUUCGGAGGAAAACAUUCACCUCACGAACAUCAGUUCCCUCAUGACGACCGAAGAAACUCAAAGCAUGCAAAAUAUUCUCAGACGGAAUCAUGACAUCUUCGCAUGGGCACAUUCUGAUAUGAGGGGAAUUCAUCCCUCUAUUGCAUCUCACAGGCUUAACGUCUUUUCAACUGCCAAACCCGUCCGGCAGAAGAUUAGGCGCUUUCACCCGGAUAGGCAAAAAGUCAUCCGGAAUGAGAUUGACAAAUUACUGGAAUCCGGAUUCAUCAGAGAAGUAGCUUAUCCGGAUUGGUUAGCCAACGUAGUGGUGGUACCCAAAAAAGAAGGGAAAUGGCGGGUUUGCGUAGAUUACACCAACCUCAAUAAUGCAUGUCCAAAAGACAGUUUCCCUUUACCACGAAUAGAUCAAAUUGUGGAUUCCACUGCAGGGCAAGGGAUGCUCUCUUUCUUAGAUGCCUUCUCCGGAUAUCACCAGAUUCCCAUGUCUCCAACUGACGAAGAAAAAACAACAUUCAUAACGCCACACGACCUCUAUUGCUACAAAGUCAUGUCGUUCGGACUCAAAAACGCUGGCGCCACUUAUCAGAGACUGAUGACAAAGAUCUUCAAACCUCUGAUAGGCCACACAGUAGAGGUAUAUAUUGAUGAUAUCGUGGUUAAAAGCAAAACCCGAGAGGAGCAUGUUCUUCAUUUACAAGAAGUUUUUCACCUCUUGAGGAAGUAUGGCAUGAAGCUGAAUCCUUCCAAAUGCGCCUUUGGCGUAAGUGCUGGCAAAUUUCUGGGUUUUAUGGUCAGCCAAAGAGGGAUAGAGGUGAGCCCAGACCAAAUCAAGGCAGUCAUGGAAACACCUCCCCCCAGGAGCAAGAAGGAAUUACAGCGCCUUACGGGCAAACUCGUCGCACUAGGGCGUUUUAUAGCCCGCUUCACUGAUGAAUUGCGACCUUUCUUCUUGGCAAUUCGAAAGGCUGGAGCAAACGGAUGGACGGACAGCUGUCAAAACGCUUUUGAAAAGAUUAAACAUUGUCUUACGCAGCCACCCAUCUUGAGCAGUCUCAUUCCAAAAGAAAAAUUGUACAUGUAUCUGGCUGUAUCAAAAUGGGCAAUCAGCGAUGUUCUAUUCCGCUGCCCCUCACCCAAGGAGCAGAAACCAAUCUACUACGUCAGCAGAGCCUUGGCGGACGUAGAAACCAGGUAUUCAAAAAUGGAGCUAACGGCCUUAGCCCUUCGAAGCGCUGCCCAAAAGCUCCGCCCCUAUUUCCAAGCCCACCCGGUGAUCGUGCUGACCGAUCAACCCCUCCGCAACAUUCUGCACAAACCAGAUUUAACCGGAAGAAUGCUGCAGUGGGCUAUCGAAUUGAGCGAAUUUGGAAUCGAAUUCCAACCUAGAUUGUCCAUGAAAGGCCAAGUAAUGGCUGACUUCGUGCUAGAAUAUUCCCGAAGGCCUAACCAACACCAGGAAUCAAGUGAAAAAGAAUGGUGGACUUUGCGAGUUGAUGGAGCUUCAUGAUCAUCAGGGUCCGGAGUCGGGCUUCUGCUACAAUCCCCAAUUGGUGAGCACCUGGAGCAAGUCAUCCGGCUGGGAUUCCCUGCCUCUAACAAUGAAGCAGAAUACGAGGCCAUCUUGUCCGGAUUGGAUCUCGCCCUUGCCCUAUCCGUAUCCAAGCUCCGGAUCUACAGUGAUUCGCAACUCGUGGUAAGACACGUCCAGAAGGAAUAUGAGGCCAAGGAUGCACAUAUGGCGCGAUACCUAACGAAAGUAAGGAACACCUUACAGCAAUUCACCGAAUGGACAGUCGAAAAAAUCAAGCGAACUGAAAAUGAGCGCACUGACGCCUUGGCAGGUAUAGCUGCCUCCCUUCCUAUCAAAGAAGUCAUUCUAUUGCCUAUACAUGUGCAAACCGACCCCUCUGUCGUAGGAAUCUCCACUUGCAAUACCAUUGAGGCAAACCAAACAAACGACCAAGAGUGGACGGACAAUAUUGCAGAAUAUCUCCGGACAGACACUCUACCCGGAGAUCCCAAACAGGCAUACAAAAUCCGGGUGCAAGCUGCCUGUUUCACCUUAAUUGGGGGGCACUUGUACAAACGAUCCUUCACAGGACCCUACCUUCGGUGCCUAGGGCAUUCAAAGGCCCAAUAUGUGUUAGCUGAGUUACACGAGGGAGUAUGCGGGAAUCAUUUCGGAGGACGAUCUCUAGCACAUAGAGCCCAUUCGCAAGGAUAUUAUUGGCCAACAAUGAAGAAGGAUGCGACAGCCUAUGUCAAAAAAUGUGAUAAAUGUCAAAGGUAUGCUCCCAUUCCACAUAUGCUGUCAGCAACAUUAAAAUCAAUCUCAGGCCCAUGGCCCUUUGCGCAACGGGGCAUGGACAUAGUGGGACCCCUCCCAACAGCACCUGCCCAGAAGAAGUUCCUCCUUGUCGCCACAAAUUACUUCAGUAAAUGGUGGAAGCUGAAGCAUAUGUUGGCAUCAAAGACAAGGAUGUCACCAAGUUCGUAUGGAAAAACAUCGUCUGCCGUUUUGGAAUUCCACAAACUAUCAUAGCUGACAAUGGUCCUCAAUUUGACAGUAUCGCAUUCAGGAAUUUUUGUUCGGAGCUGAAUAUCCGGAAUUCAUACUCCACACCGCGUUAUCCUCAAAGUAACGGGCAAGCAGAAGCCACAAACAAAACUCUGAUCACUGCCUUAAAGAAAAUGCUCGAACAAGCCAAAGGGAAAUGGGUGGAGGAGCUACCCGGCGUCCUAUGGGCCUAUCGAACCACAUCCGGACGACCAACAGGAAAUACUCCUUUCGCCCUCGCAUACGGAAUGGACGCAGUCAUUCUUACUGAAAUAGGUCUACCUACCAUCCGGACUGACGCGGCAAAGCAGAAUGAUGCAAACACAGAGUUGGGAAGAAACUUGGAUUGGGCAAAUGAAAUAAGGAAAAGCGCAGCCAUCUGAAUGGCAGACUAUCAACAAAGAGCAUCCGCCCAUUACAAUCGCAAAAUAAGGCCCAGAAGCUUCAAAAAUGGUACGCUAGUCCUUAGAAAAGUUUUUGAAAACACUGCUGAAAUGGGCGCAGGGAAAUUCCAAGCUAACUGGGAAGGACCCUAUAAAGUGUUGAAGGCAAGUGAAAGUGGAGCCUAUCAUCUACAAAAGUUAGACGGAACUUCAUUACUUAGACCAUGGAAUGUGUCUAAUUUAAAACAGUAUUAUCAAUAAAAAAGCAAGUCAAAAUACAAAUGAGUAAAGAGAUGUUUUAUUCAUAUGUAUAAAUAUAUGUACAAGGAGGUCUCCGGAUCACAUAAAGUACAGAAAGAAGAUUAUAGCAAAGUUGCAAAAAGAGAAAAGCUAUCAGGGAGCAGGCUUGUCUAAAAGUUUCUUUUCUUCACCCGGAGGAAUUGAAGGGACAUCCCGCUUGAUGUCAUUCUUCUUCAUACAGCAACGAUAGCCGAAGAGAAACAUGUCAUCCACUUGCUUUUGGUAGUCCGCUUCAAGCGUCUCCCUGUCUGCAGCAAACUCUCCCUCUAGCUCCUCUUUUUGCGCUGCUAGGCGCAGCUGCAAAUCCUCAUUCUGCUUCUUUUCAAUCGAAGCCUCCGUCCGGAGUUGCCUCACCUCCCCCCUCAGCUGGGCCAUCUCAUCCUCUGCCUCGUGCAGGUGGAUGACUGCUGACUCCUCCCGGCUCUUUGCCUUAGCCAAAUCCGCCCGGAGAGCUUCAUUGUCCUCUCGAGCGGUGGAUAAACUGGCUUCGGCCUCCUCCAUUCUCAAGCGCAGCUGAUCUUCACUAUUUUUGCGCUGAGACGCGAAGGCCUUCAUGUAAUCAAUGGUUCGCAGCAAGUCAGUGAAUAAAUUGUAUUGUUGAGCCAUGCCGCGAAGACCACUUACCAGCUGCAUACAAGCACACAAGCAAGAAAAACAAAGUUAUAAAUCAUACCACAAAAACAUAUCAGAGUGACAAAGAAUCAAGAAGCACAAAAAACAGUAUACCGUUUCCACCAUCUCGAACAUCUAGGCUGAAGGCAUGACAGUGGUCAAGCCGAGUGGAAUCUGUUCCAGCUUCUCUUCCAACUCUGCGUAGCUAAAAGGGCUAGCGGAGGUGCAAGCCGCAUCAUUAACAGGAUUCCCCCCUGAUGAGGCGACAGAAGGCGACUCCUCUUCCGGAUUCGGGACCUCAACAUUUUCGGCCGGACGGGUCUCUCUGGGAGCAUCCUCAUCCGGGACCACCACCGGGACGGCUAGAGUCUCAGUUGCCAUCUCCACCUCGCCCCCCUCCGGAUGAGCAUCUUAGGCGGAUGAGCAACUAACUUCAAUCUCUUGCAAUCGAUCUUAAAGCCGCCCGAUGAGUCCCGACUUUAGAUUGCGCGUCGAGCACGACCUCUUUGAAGAUGACCCCUUUACCGGAACAAGAGCGAGACAGUUUGGAUCGUCAGAGGGCUGACUCUAGCUUUCUGCCGCUGUUUCCUCCAUUGGAGUCGCGCAAAGGGCCUCAGCUGCAUCAGCAUCCGGAUGGGGGGAGCCGGGAUGGUUUAUGGACGCAGCUUCCUCAGCCAAAGUAGCCAAACGGGCAACCAUCGACAAGGAGGGCCCCGAAUGGUUCAGCCCCGCGAUGUGUCCGGGGCCACUUGAAAUAGAGUGGGGGGCAGGGUUCACUAGCUCCUCUAUUAUUACCUCCGCCGCAUGAGUAAUAGGCGGAGGAACAAAUUCCUUUGGAGGAGUGGGCUCCUUCACUCCCUUCCCAUUUUUGACCAGCUUCCUUUUUUUCGCUGGGGCUUUCUUUGGAGGGGAGGCGGCGCUGCGUUUCUGUCCGGGAGCCUUCCGUAGAGUUCCCUCGUUUUUUCUCUUCUCCCGAUCAUCAAGGAGUGCUUGGCGUUUUUCAGCAUCAGCUUCUUUCACCUCCUGAUAGAUGGAGAGAUCCUUCAAAAUGUAAUGCUCCCCAGGCACUACCUCCUUUGGCAUCUUCCUGGGGAGAAUGUUGACGACAUACUCCUAGGACUCUCGGACGACGGCCAUUAGGUUCCGCACAGUGAGCAGCGUCCCAUAAUGCCUCUCCUUAGCGUCUAUCUCAAAUAAUUUAUUGAGGCAGGCAAAAGACGUUUUUUCUACCCAGUCAACUAUGUGGCCCCUCCUUUCCGGACCUACAUUAUCAGCAACAAAAGAUAAAAAUGUCAUCCGGAAAGAUCAACAAAAAGACAACAAGGUAAAAGCCGGACAAAACCCGCAAGCAAACUUACCCGGAAGCACUGUGGAGUAGUUUGGAGAAAAAGGCCUCGCCGGAUGCUCCAAUAGCCCCGCCCACGCUCCCCGGACCAUCACAUGUCCUUUCGCCCCUCCCUUCGUCGAAUCCGGCAGCUCCGUCACCAAUUGAAGGGAGUGCAGGUGAGCAGACAUGCUAAAGAUGUCAUUUUUUCCCUUCUUUAGGGAGUAGACAAAAAGAACCUCUAGCAGCGAGAGGUCGAGAUUGUACAGCAUGUUUAUAAUGUUGCAUCCCAUCAGCACCCGGACUAUGUUGGGAUUGAUGAAGGCGGGUGGAAUCUGGGUGAAAUGGAGGAAUUCCUUGAACAACGCCGGAAGAGGGAACCGGAGCCCCGCGUUGAAUUGCUCUUUUGAGAAAAUGAUGGCAUUUCCUUCAGCUUUCUCAGUUGGCACAAGCUCCUCCUCAUUCAGCAAUUCCACGGUCACACCAUUUGGGAUACAGAACCGAUACCGGAACUCCUUCACAUUCAGUUUGUCUAUAGAUUUCUCACGAGCAUCGCUGGCCCGGACAGAUGAGACAGCUUUCUUCUUUGCAGACAUUUUUUAGCCUGAGGCUGAACCGAAACCUACAUACAAGAAGCGCAACAGUCAAAAACAGCAAACCAAAAACUCACAAACCCUAACCAAGCAGUCAAAAACACCCUCAAAAAACCCCAGAAAACCAACAAAUUCCAACAUUCCACACAGUCGCAAGCGGCUUGCCCAAAAAAGACAGAAACGAAGCCAACAAACAACAAAGCGCAACAAAGGGAAAAACAAGAGCAAAAUGCACGUACCAAGUGGAAAUCUGAAGAAGAAAUGGUGAAAACUGCGAUACAGUCACCGGUUGCGACACAAAAUCACCGGCAGAAAAGUUCUAGGGUUUCGCUUAGAAAAGCAAAGGAGAGCACAGAAGGAAGAAGAAGCAAAACUCUCAGAAAAAACGCAGUAGGAAAAAAUGCAACAGAAGACACAGUUUGCUAUUUAUAGGGGGGACAGCCCCUCGGAAAGCCAAACGCACAGCUGCAACAUCAUUGAAACGACAUGCUGCCUGGGAAUACCCAGAGUCGGCGGCUCAUCAUAAAUGCCUUUUUGGCUCCCGCACCCCCACUCGCCACGUGGCCCAACCAGACAAAAAGUCGACUUCGGUUUCAAAAACCAAUUAUUUUUUAACCCGCCCAUUUUUGCUCAAGCAAAAUAGGCAAGUUAAAAAGAGGGGCAUUGUAGGGACCCCUCUCUCCGAGAACACGUGGCACGCAUCUUACAGUGACACAUGGCACGCAUUGUCAUCCAAGUCACCCUCAUCCGGAUCUUCCUAUAAAGCACACAUGGCGCGCUUUUCCUAUCCAGACUACCUCAAGGAAGAUCAAACGACACUUAUAAACAUAACAUCCGGAUGGCUUACACAAUUACAUCCGGAUGAUCAACAUAUGUCAUCCGGAUAUAAUUGUCCGGAUCAUUGACUGAAGUAAGGCAAGUCUUACACGUUAUCACAACAACCAGUCAUGGCCCACGUUCCGCCACCUGCAGGGUGAGAGGACAAGAUGAAGUGACAACAAGUCACUUCCUACGAUCAUUCCACAUGAUCACUUCCCACAAUCUCUGACAGCCGCAUCAUCACCUACCACGAUCCCUGUCAGCCGCCCGUAGGGUGAUGAUGGCCCUGCUGCCACCUAAUGUCAUCAUGACAACAUAAAAUAUCUCCCCACCAUUAAUGAGAAGAACAGUGCUCCUGGAACUAUAUAUAAACCUUCACACGAAGAGGAAAGUAAUCUCCUGAGACCUAGUAAAAGGCCAACUGAUUUAUCUCUCCCUAACCAUGGCUAACAAAACCAUCGGAGGGUGCGUCCGGACACCCUGUCUGAAUGCCCUUUUUGCAGGUAUAACGACUGAAUCAAGAACCUAUUUUGGUUGAGGUCGCGCAUCCGUCCAUUUGGCAACUACGUGGAUCGUCAAGGACCCGAGGCAUCAACAGAGUAGGGUGCACGAGAUCAAAUCGAGAUGUGUGAUGACCAUUACAAUUAAUGACUAGUUCUGAGACAUGCAAAAGAAUUGUUGAUAAGAAAGAAUAUCUGCAGCUCCAUAUGUCAGACAUGAUGUAAAAAGUAUGUCAUGGUCUUGAUUAUUCCAGGAGCUGACCAGCUCAAUACUUGACCAUCAACCACUUAAAGCAAAGUCUUUUGGGCUUUAGCAAUAUUACAUACUUAGACUAUAGUUGCAUUUCAACUAUAUUUGUCAAAAAAUUGAUAAUAUUACAUACUUAGACCCAUUAAAAUCUUAUAGAAAUCUUCCCAAAAUAAUAUGAGAAUUUAAUAUUAAUAACAUAUCUUAAUUAGGUUAUUUAUGAGAAUUUGAGAGAAAAAUAAAUUUCCUCAUACACUUUUUUUUUUAAAAAAAAAGACUUUUUUCAUAGUAAUUAAAUAUAAGAAAGCUAUUUUUGAAGAUUAAAUUUAGUUUCAGAUUUUCUUAAAAUAUGAACAAUUACUGUCAGUAAUCAUUGGUUGGCCGCCGCCAAGUCUUCUGCAAUUGAUUAUGUUGUUGCCCACUUGCCCACAUGCAGCCUAAACGCGUAGACCAAGUCUUGGGAUCUCUUUCACGUAACAUAAAACCGAAAGCAACUGAGGAAAAGUGUAGCUAUAAGAAUCCCGAAGUGAUUCCUUGGAAUUCAUAGGUUUUGAAUUAAGUUGAAUUACUCUCUUUGCAUCUUCUGAUCAGGAAUUCAAACAUGGAGUGUAGGAAGUUCCAGAUUGCCAUUCUUUCAGCUCAAGGUCUUGAGAACGUCCGAGAAAUAUUCAGAAUGAAAGUCUACGCCCAGCUUUCAAUCCCCGGCAAUCCCCAAAUAAAGAGAGAAACCCCAGUGGACACAGAGGGGGAGACCAACCCCGCAUGGAACUCCACCAUUAGAUUCACAAUAGGCAAUCAGGCAGUCGAACACCAAGGCGUCGUGUUCGUCAUCAAGCUAUACUGCAGCCGGGCCCUAGGAGACCGGUACAUCGGUGAGGUGAGCCUAUCUUUCAAGGACCUGUUUGAUGGUGCCGCACCCACCAGCCAAGGCCGCAGCAGCGGUAUUGUAAGUUACCCAGUGAAAAGGGGUGCAGCGGAUUCACAAGGGCUAUUGAACUUUUCAUACUCUUUUGGGGGUAUAGUGGGUUAAGAAACCAUCCCGUUUCUUGCCCAGAAAUUUGGCAGCUGCAGGUUUCUUUAUUAUGAAAGUGGUUUUAGAGGCUACCUUAGAGCAAGCAUCGAUCUCGACAUUCCAUUCUUUGGAGAAGAUGUUCCGAUAUGUUAACGAGCAUGAUAAGUAUAUUGAGCUCAAAUCUUGAGUUUGUAAAGCUUUGAGGAAAAUUGUUACUUCAGUCAAACUUAGUUUGAUAGGAUGUUUCAGAUUCGACCCUCUUUCUGUAAUUUACUUUUCCACUAUUUGUUUUGUAAAAGCUUAACCUGAUAUGGUGGGAGGUCUUGGUGUCAAUCACUUCAGUGUAUUUUUUACUAUUCAUUGCAUGUUUCUUAUUUGUAGAGCAAUGUUUCUUCUCUUCAAAGAUCUCCAUGAUUCCAACAAGAACCCCUUUUAGAAUGGUAUAAGAGAUCUUUUCCCUAAUCUAUAGUCUACGUUUGGGGAGAGCCAUAAAUGUUGAAUACUCUAUGUUUGGGGAGAGCCAUAAAUGUUGAAUAUUCCAAGCUCAUUGAGGGCAUCCAUUAAGGUUUAACCCAAAGAUGUGGGAGGGGGAAAAGCCUACUAGAGCUGCUGCAACUGUUCAUUUGGAUAGACAAUACUAAAAGAAAAACACGUAAAAAAAAAAGAAGUAAAUAAAAGACGGGGAUCUCAAAAGACAAAUAAUAUAGGUUCAAAAUUUUAUCAGAUACUUCCUUUUUCGUUUUCAUUUUGUAUUUUGGCUCACUUCUCCUUUGAUUCAAGAUAAAGAAGGUAUACGAUGGGAUUUCAAACUUAUAAAACUAGAUAUAUUUAGCCUAAACUUAAAAAGAAAAAAAUUAAAUUAACUCCAAUUUUAAAGUUAAAAAAUAUUUUUUAUAAUUCUAUUUUAUAUGGGUUGCAGUUUUAUACAAAUUUAAAUUACCUCCGAUAAUAUUAAUAUGAUAAACCAAAAAAGAAGAAGACGGGAAUAUGUUCAUACACUAAUAUGUUAUUAUUAAAAUAAUAAAAUAUUUUUAUUAAAAUUAUGUUUGAAUAUGAAUAGUAAUAAUUUAAAAUAAAUAUAAACUUUUAUUUAUUUUUAUAAAGAAUAAAAAUAUAUAUAUCCAACUGUCUAAAUUUGAAUUUCAAUACAUACCGUUAUGGUAUGUUAGCAUCCGCCUACAUUUUAAUACGGUUAACGGCGUCGCUAAUUUCCAAAACCCCGACUUUGCUCUGUGUAGUGGGAAACGGAGAGUAUGAAUUUCAGACGACGUCGAAUUCUGCCACAUCAGAAUGAAACGGCGGCGUUGCUGACUUGCUACAGUGUUUUCUGAGUUCUUCACGAGACGCCAUGGACGACGUUGAUCGCUUGUUUCAGUGCUUCAAAUGUGGCGUGUCUCUUCCAAGUACUCUCUCUACUAGUCUUAUAUAGAUAGAUAUGAUCGAUUUAUGGUAUGUUUGGUCGCUGAGAAAAUGUGGGAACAAGGAAAAGAAAAAUCAAAACUGUGAAUCAUGAGAUGUCUGAAAUUGGGGACGAGAAACCAAGACCUCUAUUUUUUUGCGAUUUUCAUUAUUUGGAAGCCUAUAUAAAAUACUAAAAUAAGUUCAGAACUGUUAUCUUGAGCUUUUCCUCAAUUUUCUGCCAACCAAACACGGUGUGCUUGCUUCUCUUUUCUUCAAUGCUUGGUUAGGGCUUUAUUUUCGUUACUAUGACCGGACAUUUAAUUAAAGUUAGUAAAAGUGGAAUUUUCUGAUAAUUAUGUUUAAUUGAAGCAAAAUGCGUCCCCAAAUUUGCUGAUGAUUCAAUAUUAGGGAUUUUAGAAUAUUUUCUUGCUUUCUUCAAGUGGAUUGGUUUUCAAACUUUCUAGGGAAAAAAAUGUUACGCACACAUUGGUUAGAACUCACCUUUGAAAACCGACCAUCGAAGGUAGGGUGCCCAAUUGCUUAUAAGCCAAAUCACUAACCCUUAAUUUCUCGAUAUGGGACGUAAUUAGGUCGUUACAAAAACUUCUCCGAAGUUGAAAGAUUUGAGUCCACUUUUUAAGGCAUGGUGUGCCAGCAUUUUCAAGUUACUUUUUCUUUUGGCCCUUCAAGCAAAAAUUUCAGUGAUUUUUUUCUUUGAUAAGCAUAGACUAAGGAAUGGCUCACAAAAACACUAAUGAUAAAGAACUUAAUUCACUUUAUUCCAUUUGUUUGGGGUUGUUGAUACCCUUUUCUUGGCUGACUUUCAGGUGGGCUCACCCAGAUAGCCUAUGAAACAUCCCCUUUUAGUGAACUAUGAUCCCAAAAAACCAAGUUGGAAAAGUAUAUUCAAAUUUUAUGAAAACAGUACAAUCAUUGCAUUGGCUGCUGAAAAAGUUCAGGAAAAAUUGAAACUUUGUGCACCAACAUCUCAUUAUUAGGCAAAGAAGGGAAAACUUCUCUACUCAAUAUAACGUAUUUUAUUUUAGGUUAAUUUUUCUUUUCCCUUCUUAUAGAAGAAAAAACCAUUAAACAUAAGAUUUAAACUUUAAUUUUCUUUUCUAUUCAUCAGUUUCUCGGAAACCAAGUAGAAGAAGUGAUAAAUGGUGUGAACCUUGGUCUCCAUAAAAUGAAACAACUUUGUGAAGUUUGAAGUGAAUCGAGAAUUAUGCCUUUCACCAUACUAUUUCUUGACAUUUUGAAUUAAAUAAGUUACUUUCCCUUUAUGUUCUUAUGGUAAUUGCUUCCUUGUAUAUUUACCUUGUAUUUCAGAAUCUGCUAUUAAAGAAAGAAAACAUAGUAAAGAAAAAUUGAAGCAAGCAGGUUCAACUCAUGAGGCAUCUGCAUAUUCUGAUGUUCAAUCUCCAGGAUCAGCUGGAGAAAGACAUCAAAACAUAAACAAUGUGCAGUCCUGCAUGAAGGAAGUAUAUGUUGUAACGAUUCACUCCCAACCGUGUAGAUAUUGUUCACUUUGGACCCAAAAGGGCCCUCGCGGCUUUAAAACGCAUCUACUUGGUUACAAAGAAUCUCUACAUAUAUAGCGUCAUAAACUUUCUCCCUUAUUCGAUGUGAGACAUCACAAACACUCCCUCAUGCAGACACAACGUCCUCGUUGUGUCCCAUGGAAUUGCGGGGUCAAACAGACAAACACCCCUUACGGGGUCAAACAAGCCCCCACACCUCACUCCCAACUGUGUAGAUAUUGUCUGCUUUUGACCCAAAUGGGUCCUCAUUGCUUUAAAACGCGUCUACUUGGUUAAGAGGAGUCUCUACAUAUAUAGUGGCAAAAACUUUCUCUCUUAUCUGAUGCGGGACAUCACAAACUCAUUAAAGGUAAAAGAGUCCUUUUACAAUUAAAAAUCCUAUAUAUAAAUUAGAUUUUCCUCUUAUCUUCUUUAUUUAGAAAACUUUAUCAACCAAAAAACAGAGAAUUGAAUAAUGUAAGGUCAAAGGAUGAUUAUUUGCCCUUAGUGGAGUUUGCCUAUACUAAUAGCUUUCAAGCUAGCAUUGGGAUGACACCUUUUGAGGCAUUAUAUGGUAGGAGAUGUUGAUCUCCUGUUUGUUGGGAUGAUGUUGGAGAAAAGAAACUUUUGGGGCUUGAACUUGUGCAGUUGACUGUUGAAAAGGUCUCUUUAAUUAAGGAAAGAUUGAAAACAACACAGUUGAUGUUCCACAUCGGAUAAGGGAGAAAGUUUAUAGUGUUAUAUAUGUAGAGGUUUAUUUUAACCAAGUAGACGCAUUUUAAAGCCGUGAGGGCCCCUUUGGGUCUAAAGCGGACAAUAUCUACACAGUUGGGAGUGAAUCAUUACAAAUGGUAUCAGAGCCGAUUCUUAACCCCGGUGUGGGGGUUUGUUUGGCCCCGUAAGGGGUGUUUGUCUAUUUGACCCUGCAAUUCCAUGGGACACAACGAGGAUGUUGUGUCUGUAUAGGAGGGUAUUUGUAAUGUCCCACAUCGGAUAAGGGAGAAAGUUUCUAGCACUAUCUAUGUAGAGGCUCCUCUUAACCAAGUAGACGUGUUUUAAAGCCGUAAGGGCCCCUUUGGGUCCAAAGCGGACAAUAUCUACACGAUUGGGAGUAGGUUGUUACAUAUGCUCUGUCUUUCCUUUUGUUUUUAGACUUCCGUGUUUUCUCUUUUUUUAUGUCGAUUGCUUUAUGCUUAAAAUGAAGUUUCUAUAUUUUUGUUACGGGCAGCAAGCAAGUAGGUAUCCUGAUUCAAGGAAUAGUCAUAACUCAUACAUACUGGUAUUUAGUUGCAUGUAACACCAAGCAUCUCAUUGAAGCUUGAUAUCCAGUCUCAAUGACUUGUGUGCUCAGGCACACACAAAUUCUUGUAUGCUAAAGUUAUAUUCAAUUAAAUACUAUUCCUAUAGAAAAUAAUCAUUUGGCUUCUUGAGUUAAUCAUGAAUUUUGAAAGUGAUAGCUGUUGAAUCUGUUUGAAUUGUUGGUUGGACAGAUCAUACUUUACUAUUUAUUACUUAUUUUAAUGCAUGGCUUAAUUCUAUAUAUCAUUAUUCCUUCAUCUUGGUCCUAGAACAGUUGAAGCAGAGAGGUUUAAUUGUCACAAGCACAUUUCUCCAAUCAUAUUACUGGAUAAGGACUUUGCAAGCUUAAAACCUAUAUUUACUUGCAAUAAGGAAAAUUGUCCACCAAAAGAGUCAAGAAUCCUUCUUGUUCAUCUAAGCCAAUGAUCACUACAUCCAAAAACAAAUAAAAUAAUUAUGGGAUUAGAUGAAAUGAUUCUUUUGUUGAAAAUGCUAAAUGAAGUACUGUAAAAAUAAAAAAGAAAGUGAAAAUACCUUAACACACCAAUAAUGUUGGAACAAAAAAAGUUUUGAUACCACUUGUUGUAUAUGUGGAAACUUUUUUGAAAGAAUAUAAAAUAAAAUCAUUCAUACACAAAGGUAGAUAAGGUUUUAAUUUAAUCCGACUGAUCAUACCUACCUCUUUAGAUGAGAGAUAAUAUUCCUAUAUAAAAUAAAGAACAUUAAAAGGGACCGAUCAAAACAGAUAAGAGAUAACAUUUCACUAUAUAAUAAAAAGACAGUUCAACAGAUAAAUCAAAAUAUAUAUGUGGACCCGCAUUUUUCACGUGCGUCCCUACUCGAUCGGCGAGACUCGCUUUUUAUUUGUGAAAAAUUAUUUAGUUUUGGAAAAGUUGGAGCCGCCACUUAUUUUAUUUUUAUUUUAAAGGGAAAAUAAAACAAGAAAUAAAACCCUAAAAAAAGUGACUAUAAUUUUUGGAAAAGCUUGUCUUUGAAAAACCCGAGUCUAAGUCCGGGGAUCAGGUUACUUAUUGGGAAGGUACCUCUAGGAGGUAGCACCCCUCUAAGCCCUAAAGAGGUCUCUACUAACUAAGUUGAGGGAAACGUGACAAUUAAAUAGUUGAUCAUGGAUACCUAGAUAGACUAAGGUGAUUUCAAAAAAUAACAUGCCAAAUAGGAUCAAAUUACGAUAAAAGAGAGUUAGGGUGCAUACCUGGACAACUUCUCAAGCGCUAUCAUAAAACAUGAAAGUUAAUAUUGAGAUACAUCACACAACAUGCAUUUUAUCAAAGAUAAUCAAACAAUCAUCAAAUAUAUACCAAGACAAUCAAAUAGGAUAGCAAGCAUAGACAUAGUACACAACGACAAUCAUAUUCAUAGGGUUUAGCAGGGAACGUACCCGUAUAGCAUAUAUAACUCCUAAUGCGCUUCAUCAGGACAUAGGGUUUAGAUAACAAAUAAUAAAUAAUAAAUCCUAGCAUGCUUAUCUAACUAAUUAGCAAAAAUUAUCAGCAUACGAAAUAAUUAAUUAUCAUACAUAUCUUGUAUACAAUUCCUAAAAAGAAAAAAAAAUGUAAAUAUAAUUACAAUAAAUAGCAGCGUGGUAGCAAAAAUAAAUUUUGAAAAAGAUUUUCUUAUGUAGGGGUUUCACCAAUUCCCCAAAUUAAUAUACACAAAUAUAACUUGGAAUUAAAUGUUAUUACUUUCAUAAAAAAAUAAAAAAUAAAAAAUUCAUGAGUAUUAAAAAAAAACAUUUAUUCUAUAGUUUUAAUGAAUUGUAUUUAUAAAAGGAAGUUUUGAUUUACUUAAAUAAGAAGGUUUUAAUUUCAUGCAAAGAAAAUAUUUUUUUUUUAAAGUUUGUUCACAAGAAAAUAAAUGUUAUCACUUUUAUAAAGGAAAUAUUUCAUAAGUAUUAAAAAUAAUAAUAAUAAUAACAAUAAUUGAUUCCAUAGUUUUAAUGAAUUUUAUUUAUAAAAAGAAGCUUUAAUUUAUUUAAAUAAAAAGACUUUAAUUCCAUGCAAAGAAAAUGUUUUUAAAAAGUUCAUUCACAAGAAAAUAAAUGUAAUUAUCACUUUUAUAAAGGAACUAUUUCAUGAGUAUAAUAAUAAUAAUAGUAAUAAUUGAGUCCAUAGUUUUAAUUAAUCUUAUAAAAGGAAGUUUCAAUUUACUUAAAUAAAAAAGGCUUUAAUUCCAUGCAAAGAAAAUAUUUUCAAAAAUUCAUUUACAAAAAAAGAGAAAGAGAAAAAUAAAUAAAUAAAAAUUAAUUAAUUAAUAAUGGUAAUAAUAAUAAAACCUCAUAAAAAUAUAUUUGACAAUUUAAAAAUAUAUAUAUUUUUUUAAUGUAAGAAUAUCUUUUAUAAUUUAAAUUUUUCUUUAAUAAUUUUUUUUUAACUUUAUUUUAUUUACAACAGGAUGAUUUCCACAACUCUUUAUUUAGAAAGCACAAAUUUUUAUUUUUAUUUUUUUAAAACAUAAUAAAUUUUUUAAAUAAGAUAAACAAUUAUUUUAUAUUUUAAUCCAAGAGAACGAAAAAAAUGUUUAAAAUAAUUUAAAUAUUACAACUUUUUAUUUUUUUUAUUUUUAAACAAAGCUAUCAUAAAAAUUAUCAAAACACUUAAAAAUCCGAACUUUUUCAUCAUCAUCAGGAACUAUCCCAAAACUAAAAAUUAAGCACAAUAUAAAAUUUCAUUAAUAUCCAAAUUAUUGAAAACUAAAAAAAACUUGCAAAAUAUUUCAACUUUUUAUCACAAAAUUAUCCAAAACGAAUAAAACAUCUAAUUUUUAAACUAUCAUCCCGAAUCAUCCAAGACAAAUGCCUACAAAAAGUAACAUGAGAUUAGCAAUAAUAAUAAUGAUAACUAAAAUAAAAUAAACAAAAUAAAUUCAAAAACCAAAAAAAAAAAACUAAAAAUCCUAACUUGAUUUAUAUUUUAUUCAAACAAUCAUUAUGAAUUAUUCCAAAGCUAAAAAAAUAAGCACAAUAUAAGUUUUCAUUAAUAUCCAAAUUAUUGAAAACUAAAAAAGACUUGCAAAAUAUUUCAACUUUUCAUUAACAUCACAAAAUUAUCCAAAAUGAAUAAAAAAUCUAAUUUUUAAACUAUCAUCCCGAAUCAUCCAAGACAAAUGCCUACAAAAAUUAACAUGAGAUUAGCAAUAAUAAUAAUGAUAACUAAAAUAAAAUAAAUAAAAUAAAUUCAAAAACCCAAAAAAAACUAAAAAUCCUAACUUAAUUUAUAUUUUGUUCAAACAAUCAUUAACACAUCUCAUAUAAAUACAUUAAAUCCAACAAAACACUCACCGGAAGACAUUAAAUCCUAUUAUAACCGUCCAUGAUUUCAUUCCCUUUCCUUUAACAAAUAAAUAAAAAAAACAUGCCAAUAGCAUCAUUCACAUCAGGACUGACCAUAUAUUCACAUUCAUUUGCAUUUUAAAUCCAACAAAACGAAGUCAAAGAACACUAACCUUUCUUGCAACUACCAUCUUUUACGAUUGUGUCACUUUUUCUUCUCAGUCUAGCACGAUUGUGUCACUUUUUCUUCUCAGUCUAGUUGUGUCUGCUUCUUCGAUCUGACUCGCGUGUUCCUUCACCAUAAAGAGUCCCUGAAUCAGCCUAUGCGUCCUCUAGAAGUUCCACCCGGAAACGUGAUCUCCAUGUCUACAAUUUUCUUCUGAAUCUCGUUCAAAAAAUCAACCAAAAAUUCUCCCAGAGCUCUCUUUUCUCUCUCUCUAAGACAUCUCCCCCCUCUCUUCAGGCCCUCUCCUCUAAAAAAAAUUCUCCUUUUUUUUCCUCCUCUUCCUUGUCUUUCUCAUAUUCUCCAAAAAAAAACCCCCAAAUCCCCUUCAUCACGCCUCUCUUCCCUUUUUUGCAUGUGAGUUGACUUUUAUUUCCUUCUAAGAAUUCCCCCCGCUCUCUUUCUUGCAAAAUACAGUCUGUCUAUUCAAUAUGUCACCUCAAUUCUUCCUAAAAUAUAUCAUCUCUUUUCCUUUUUCCAUUUAAAAUAUGCUUUGACCCAAAACACUACUGAAACCUCCUUCCAUCAUCACGUGAUUCUUUUCCCAAAAGACAAAUUACAUUACCUUCUUUGCUGCUCAUCAUUUCUUUUUUCAUACAUAAGCUAAAUCUUCCCCAUAACAUGGCUCCAUUCAUUUUUUUUCCAUAUGUCUACUCUUGGAACCAAUAUGGUAGCUACCCACUCCGAGCUUCACAUCAUAGACACUUUUUUAUCUUUCUAUUGGUGGACUUCCUACAAAAUUUCAAAGUUAAUAGAGUAAUAGUAAUAAUAAUAAUAAUAAUAAUAAUAAUAAUAAUAAUAAUAAAAAUGUUUAAACAAAAUUAUUAAAUUAAACUAAAGAAGUAAAGACAAGUAUUAUGGAAAAGUGAUAAAAUAAUAGGAAAAUAAAAUAAAUAAAGAAAUAUACAAAAUAAUAAAUAAAAUAAAAUAAACAAAAAUAUAAAGGUAAAAAAUAAAAAAAUAAAAAAAUAAAAAAUUAAAUAAAAUAAAAAAAGUCAAACAAUGUGAUUUUACAAAAACGAGUCUUGCAAGUCAUACAAGUCAUGCAACCAUGCAAACCAUGCCCAUGCAAAAAAUGAUCUAAAUGGGCCUAAGGUGUCGAAAUGGGCCUAAAGUGAUGCCUAAUGGGUCAAGUGUACCUAAAUGGGCCUAGGGUACCUAAAUGGGCCUAGAGUAAUCUAAGUGGGCCUAAAGUGGCUAAAUGGGCCUAAAGUGAUCUAAGUGGGCCUAAAGUGUCUAAAUGGGCCCAAAGUGAUGCCUAAUGGGCCAAGUGUACUUAAAUGGGCCUAAAGUGAUCUAAGUGGGCCUAGGGUGACUAAGUGGGCCUAAAGUGUCUAAAUGGGCCUAGGGUGCCUAAGUGGGCCUAGGGUGCCUAAGUGGGCCUAAAGUGAUCUAAGUGGGCCUAAGGUGACUAAGUGAGCCUAAAGUGGCUAAAUGGGCCUAAAGUGACGCCUAAUGGGCCAAGUGUACCUAAAUGGGCCUAGGGUGCCUAAAUGGGCCUAAAGUGACCUAAAUGGGCAUAAAGUGAUGCAUAAUGGGCCAAGUAUACCUAAAUGGGCCUAGGGUAAUCUAAGUGGGCUUAGAGUUACCUAAAUGGGCCUAGGGUGCCCAAAUGGGCCGAAAGUGAUCUAAGUGUGCCUAAAGUGUCUAAAUGGGCCUAAGGCGCUUAAGGUGGUGCCUAAUGGGCCAAAGGUGGCUAGGUAAGCCUAAGUCUAAAUAAGUCUAAAUUAGGGCUACCAGGAGUCGCAAUAGAGUUCAAUAAAUCCCUCAACCAUAGUCCCCAAGGUGGCGUAGAGCAGAUAGGUUAUGCGAGUAAUAAUGGGCCGCCAGGGAAUUGCUGUAAACGACAUGUGCGAGGAAGACAAAAUAGAGGGUUUACAAUAUAUAAUUAUUAAGUCCCAAAACAUCCCACAUUUCCUUACUUUUUAUACUUUUACCCCUAAAUCAAGAGUCAUUUUGCUUCAUUAAGUAUUUUUUACUCUUCCUUACAUCUACCCCAUGAUCCUUCUUACUCCAUUGAGUAAUAUCUCUCGCUCUUCAUCAUAUCUUUAUGCAUUAUGUAUAGUUUUCACAAACCCAUAUCGCUCAUCAUUUUUUUCUCCAUUAUAACUUAAAAUAUUUAUAGAGAUAUUCGGACUAAUUUUCCUCAUUAUAUAUAAAAUUUCUUAUCAAAAAGGAAAUAUAUUUCGCUUUGGAAUACACUCCUCGGUCAAGGCAUUCAAACUCCCACAUGCUCCCACCCUGCUCAUACACCUCAUUCCACCACCUAAGCCCCACAAAGACCCUUCCACUAACGUUCUUGACUACCCAAGUCAAUGUCUUAUCUAUGCAAUAAAGUCCACAUCUGUCCUUAUAAAGCCCCUCGUUUCAAUGAUAUAUUUGUUGCAGAGACAACUAAUUUUGUAGAAGAAAGAUAUAAUGCAAAAAUAGCUUCAAAAACCAACCAAACAUCUAAAUCAAUAUAUAUAGAACAAGACACAAGUAGGAAAGGAUUUUCCUUCAAGCAAGUUUAAGUAACUGUCCAUCAAGAAAAUGGCUUCCAUGAUUCCGUCUAAACAAUAGAAACUCCAAAAAGUGGAGUAGGGUGCACGAGAUCAAAUCGAGAUGUGUCACGACCCAAAUUCUAGGCGACCCAAAAUUUGGUCCAUGAUCCCAUAUCAAAGGUUUGACCCUAAGGGUUUCUCAUACUCCACGCUUGCAGUCAACAAAAACACUCUGAAUUUUUUUUUCCACGUAUAAACCGCACUAGGGUUCUCACCAACUAACAAUGUUUCAAACAUUACUCAAAUGCAUCAAGAUUUAAUAAUUAUCAUUACAGUCAAAAAUAAAAGUUCAUAGUUAAUCCACUUAAUCAAAUUAAGGUCUCAUUACACAUUCAUAGUUCACAAUUUAUUAAAACAAGUUCCAAUAUCACAAACGCCAUAAAUAAGACACGUUCCACUAGACCGCUCCAAGGGCAUCCUAAAGUCCUCCCUGCCCCACCUGUGGAUCCUAAGGAGUGAUAUCUACAUCUAAAAAAAAUGUAAAAAGGAAGGGGUGAACAUUUUCACAUUGCUCAGUAAGGUACCUAACACCCAAGGGGUUAUGGGGAAUUACUAAGUUACACAAUAACAUAAAAAAUAAAAAAAAACAUUUCAACAACAUUGAUCAAGCCCCAUAAUUUAAUAUAUAUAAUUAUACACAAUUCCAUAAUAUUCAACAAAUAAAUGAAAUGCAUAUGAACGUAUGACACACAGUCAUACAAUGCACUAUUGUUCUCGAGCUUUCACCAAAGGAUACGCGUCCGCACCCAAAUACAUUCCCCAUUCGAAGUCUUCUUGGAGUAAACUUUUGGGUCUUUCACCCUAGGGAUCCCUCUCCCUUCUUAAUUUGCCUCACACAAACUUUCACUUUUCGUCACUAUUUCAUUUUUUUUCUUUCUUUUUUCCAUUUCAUACACUUUUCACAAUUUUUAUCUUUUCUUCACACAACCAUGAUGCAAAUGUAUGUCACAAUUCCAAAAUUUCUCAAUAAUUUCAACAACUUCAACAAUUCCAACAUUUCCAAUAAUCCAAUAAAAUAAAUUUUCCACAUUACAAUUUUCGAAAAUAUCCCAACAAAUUUUCAAAAUUUCACAUAUCAAUAAACUUAAAAUUAUACCACACUUUCGGAAUUUUUCAAUAAUUCUAAUAAUUUUCAAUAUUCUAAAUUAAUCAAUUCUCCACAACCAAAUUACCAAUGUUUUCAGAACCGGACCGGUGAUCGAACCGGAAAAAUUACCGGUUCACGGUUCACCGGUCGGACCGGCGGUCGAACCACUAUUGAACCGGUGAUGUAAUAAAUAUAUAAUUUAUAUAUUAUAUAAAAUUAAAAAUAAUUAUAAAAAUUAAAAAUAUAUAAAAUUAUAAAUUUUAAUAAUGUUUGAUUUUUAUAUUUGGUAUAUUAAAUUAAAUGAUAAAGUUUAAUAUUUUAAAUUUUAUUAAAUAGAAAGAUGUAAUAUUUAAGAAUGAGGAUAUAUUUAAAAUGAAAAAAAUUAUAUAUUUAAUUUUAUCUUUUUGUCUUUGUAUUUUAUUGUUUUAAAAUUAUUCUAUUAAUUAAUUUAUAUUAUUUUUAUAAUUGUUAUAAAAAUAAACAGGAAUUUAAAUAUUUACAUUUCUUUAAAGAUUUUAUAUGAUAAUAAUUUGAAAUAAAAACAUUAAUGUUAAGUCUUAUUAUAUAUAUAUAUAUAUAUAUAUGAAUAGCUCAUGCGUCCAGCCCUCAUGCUGCCAUGCAUCCAGCCUUUGAGGUAGUCCUAUUCCAGUCCCACAUCGGAAGCACAUGAAUUCCAUGUGCUUCAAGUGCUCUAUAAAUACCUUGCAAGUUGCAACAGGCAAACCAAGCUAAACAAGCCAACAAAUUGGGCUUGAAAGGCAUGGCCCAAGGGACAUGUUAAUAAGCUAAUGAUUUAUUUGUUUGGGCCUAGUUGUUUAAACCAACUAUGGGCUUAUAAUUAAUUAGAGUUUCAAAAGUUAUGGGUGUGGAAUGGGCUCAAUGGAUAAUGGGCCUUUUAAUUUUAAACAAAUUUUUGUAGAAUUUUAAAAAGAAGGCUUGGCCGGUUCGUGAAAAACCGGACGGUUUAUCCGGUUCAGCGGUUCGACCGGUGGUUUGAACGGUUCAAUGCCGGUUCGACCACAAAACGGUUCUUUGAGAUGGACCGAACCGGAAAGUUGACCGGUCGGCGGUUCGAUCGGUCGGACCGGCCGGUCCGGUCCGGUUUUUAAAACAUUGCAAAUUACAGAAAAUAUUCCAAAAAUUCUCGAAAAUUCACAUACUAAUAAAUUUGAAAUUAUACCCUAAUUUUAGACUUUUCCCACACUUCUAAUAAUUUUUAACAAUCCAAAACAAUUAAUUAUCAACUAAAAAUAAAUUCCCAAAAUUACAAAAAUUCCAAAAAAAAAUUCCAAAUCAUCCAAAAAUAUUCUUACAAUACCAAUAUUACCUACUUAACUCAAAAUGACAAGAAUUAUAAUUUUUUUUCAAUGAAAAAUGCAUUUAAUUAAAGUUUUAGGACUAGGUUCAUCUAUCACAGAUCUAAGAAUUUGACCGUUAAAAUCAAAAUCAGUCAUCGUAAAAUUGUUCCUUUCGUCGAGUAGAACACCUCCUCAAAAUUUGAGCCGAAACGGAUGACGUUCAGUCAUCCAAAUGACCAGUCAAAGUUCCUGAGAUUCUCCACAGUCCGCAAGUCUCCUUCUCUACCGUUAUUUUUUUUUCAAUCACCAGCUACUCAAGCCCAGUCCAAGGCCCAAUGAAGUAAUUCCCUUUGUUUUAACAACCAACAGUUCACGGCCCACCAUCCAACUUUUUGAUUUAUUAUUUUUUUUCUUUUAUUUAUUUUCAUUUGCUUAUUUUUUAUUUCCAAAUUCCCUUUUUUUUUAUAACACAAUUUAAUUUAUAAAACGCCAAUCCAAAAAUUUAAUUUUCUCAAUUUUAUUAACAAACAAUUUAAUUUAAUUUUUACAAAAUUAAUUCUAAUUAAUUUUACUAAUUCACUUUUUAUUUUUGUUUUUGUUUUUCGUUUUCAAAAAUUUUCAAUUUCUAAAAUUCUAAUAAAUUUUCUAUCCUAAGGUUGACGUGGUACAAAAUUUUCAACUCACCUAAUUGACCAACACAAUAAAUUCAAUUUCACCAAUUCAAAAUUAAUAUUUAUUCUUCAAAUACUUUUCAUUUUCACUUUUCAAUAACCACACAAAAGAAGACUUUUCAAACUAAAAUUCUCAACGGGGGCUAAAUUGUCCUGUCAAAAUUGUCUUGUCAUUACAAGAUGUGUGAUGACCCUUAUAAUUAAUGACUAGUUGUGAGACUACCAAUAUAAUUAAUGACUAGUUGUGAGACAUCGUGUGUUUGAUAGGAUCAACAUGCAAAAGAAUUGUUGAUAAGAAAGAAUCUCUGCAGCUCCAUUAAAAAAGUAGGUCAUGGUCUUUGAUUAUUCCAAGUGCUAACCACGGCUUAACUAUCAACCACUUAAAGCAAAGUCUUCUGGGCUUUAGCAAUAUUACAUACUUAGACUAGUUGUAUUUUAAUUAUAUUUGUCACAAAAAUUGAUAAUAUUACAUACUUAGACCCACUAAAAUCUUAAAGAAAUCUUCCCAAAAUAAUAUGAGAAUUUAAGAUUAAUAACAUAUCUUAAUUAGGUUAUUUAUGAGAAUUUGAGAGAAAAAUAAAUUUCCUCAUACACUUUAAAAAAAAAAAAAGACUUUUUCAUAGUAAUUAAAUAUAAGAAAGCUAUUUUUGAAGAUUAAAUUUAGUUUCAGAUUUUCUUAAAAUAUGAACAAUUACUGUCAGUAAUCAUUGGUUGGCCGCCGCCAAGUCUUCUGCAAUUGAUUAUGUUGUUGCCCACUUGCCCACAUGCAGCCUAAACGCGUAGACCAAGUCUUGGGAUCUCUUUCACGUAACAUAAAACCAGAAGCAACUGAGGAAAAGUGUAGCUAUAAGAAUCCCGAAGUGAUUCCUUGGAAUUCAUAGGUUUUGAAUUAAGUUGAAUUACUCUCUUUGCAUCUUCUGAUCAGGAAUUCAAACAUGGAGUGCAGGAAGUUCCAGAUUGCCAUUCUUUCAGCUCAAGGUCUUGAGAACGUCCGAGAAAUAUUCAGAAUGAAAGUCUACGCCCAGCUUUCAAUCCCCGGCAAUCCCCAAAUAAAGAGAGAAACCCCAGUGGACACAGAGGGGGAGACCAACCCCGCAUGGAACUCCACCAUUAGAUUCACAAUAGGCAAUCAGGCAGUCGAACACCAAGGCGUCGUGUUCGUCAUCAAGCUAUACUGCAGCCGGGCCCUAGGAGACCGGUACAUCGGUGAGGUGAGCCUAUCUUUCAAGGACCUGUUUGAUGGUGCCGCACCCACCAGCCAAGGCCGCAGCAGCGGUAUUGUAAGUUACCCAGUGAAAAAGGGUGGAGCGGAUUCACAGGGGGUAUUGAACUUUUCAUACUCUUUUGGGGAUAUAGUGAUGGUUAAGAAACCAUCCCUUUUCUCGACCAGAAAUUUGGCAGUUGCAGGUAUCUUUAUUGUGAGAGUGGUUUUAGAGGCAACCUUAGGAGCAAGCAUCGAUCUGGAUAUUCCAUUCUUUGGAGAAGAUGUUCCUAUAUGUUAACGAGCAUGAUAAGUAUAUCGAGCUCAAUCAAACUUGGUUUGAUAGGAUGUUUCAGAUUCGACCCUCUUUCUGUAAUUUACAUUUCUGCUACUUGUUCUGUAAAAGCUUAACCUUUAGUGUAUGGUGGGAGGUGUUGGUGUCAAUCACUUUAGUGUAUUUUUUACUAUUGAUUGUAUGUUUCUUACCUGUAGAGCAAUGUUUCUUCUCUUCAAAGAUCUCCAUGAUUCCAACAAGAAUCCCUUUUAGAAUGGUAUAAGAGAUCUUUUCCCUAAUCUUUAGUCCAUGUUUGGGGAGA